AGCGGGGUGCAGGAAUCGAACCUGCGUCACGAUCUUUGAAGGAUAUGCGUUUUGGUUGCUGAAUACAAGCUUGUCAGCUUGCGUUUAGCUACGUGUGUUAUCCACUACACCAACCCCGC
rnacentral:tRNA from 1 species